UGUAGUUUGACUUGCAUUUCCCUGAUAAGUAGUCGUGUUGAGCAUGGUCCCAUCUUCAAAUGUAUUAAGGGUUCCUGGUGAGACCUACUCAGAAAGAAUCCCUGACCCUUCUAGUCUUCAUCAAUGGUCAUGAGAGGGAUAACCUUUUCUUCUUUCUUCCAUUCAGGGCAUUCUCUCUUAAGAUGCCCUGGCUUAUCACAAUUGUAACAUCCAGUUAGUCUUAGGAGUUUUCCCUGAGUUUCCCUUCUUUCUCUGUGUCAACACCUUAUCUACUUUGAGGGGGAUCUUGAUCUAACCUUUUUCUGACUACCUCUUCCACAAUGGAAACUAUGAUUUUGGCUUUCUGUUUCUGCUUCUCUUCUCUUCUUACAAAGACCUUCUCAGCUUCACUCAGUGAUUCCUCAAUUGGUUUCUCAUUCCAUUCAUCAGUUUUUUUGGUAAUUUCUUUGUAAUGUCAGGCCAGCUCUUAGUUACAAAGUUAACCUUCAGAAGGCUUUGCCUUACUAGGUCCUCUGGAUCUAAUCUGGAGUAUUUUCUCAUUUGAUCUCUGAACCUCUGUAGAAAUGCAGAGGGAGUGACCUCUUUUUCUUGUUGAAUCUUGAAUGCUUUUGAGACAUUUGGUGUGCUAGAAGUGGACUCUUUGAUCCCUUUAAUUAUAGUUCCCUGAGGUCCUGCAUUUGGGUCCAUUCCCUGGGAUCAUUAUUAUACCAUUUGGGAUCGACAUUUGAAAAUUUUUGUUCAUCUGGCAAAACUUCUUCCCAAGAGGGUAUUGCCUCUAUUAACUGGUCAUGCUCGGUGUAAAAGCCAGGUCCUAGGAAUUGGUCCAGCUGGUCUGCUAAACUGAGGGGAUCUUCUAGGAGUGGUUUCAUUUCCUUCUUGAAAUUCUUAACUUCAGUACUUGUAAGAGGAACAUUUACAAAGCCAUUCUCUCCCUGUCCCAUGAGAACUUCCCUAAGAGGAAACAUGCUAGAUGCCUGUUGUGUGAAAGGAAUAGGGAAUUUCUCAAUAUUCCUCUUACACUGUUCUAAUUAUUUUCUUAAAUUUGGAUUAGGAUUGAAAGGAAGAGUUGGUUUGGCUCCCCCAUGGUCUCCAGGUCUUUCCUCCUCUAACCCACCUGCUGCCCCUUGAUCUUUCUGUCCCCUAUAUUGUAAGAUAUAUGGAGGGGGCAAGUGUGAUAGGGGGGUCCCAGGGCUUUUCACUGGGCAAGGGCUUUUUACUAGUUUUUUUUUCUUCUUCUUUGAGAGGGAAUGUGGGGACUAAUUCCUUGAUCCAGCUAAGAGCAUAACCUAUCUCCUCUUGUGAGGAUGGGGUUUUAUCAUUCACAUAGAGGAUUAAAGCUUGGCACACCCAAUCCUCAUCUGAGCCAAAUUUGGGCCAAAACACUGAAGGCUUAUGAAUGAGGACUUUGAGCCAGAUAAGACAGGAAUACUUUAUCAUCUUUUGCUUUUCCUUGUCCCUGGUUUGAGGGUUGUCCCUCCAAACCUGCAGCAUUAUCCCCAAAGGAGUAUCCAGGAAAAUGUCAGAGGAAUUCUCUUUGACUCCCUCUUUCCUUUGUCCCCUAGGCCUAGAAUUUCUGUUUCCCAUUUUUGGUCAGUCUCUGUGUCUGAACUUUUCCUUGUGUACUCAACCCCCCCUACUGGAGAUUUUUUGCACACUCUGAGAAUCGCUUCAUCCAUCUCUGGCCAUUUCCCUUGUAGGAGAACAAAACUCUGCACUCACUUUGUAUCUAAGAUACAUCUCAGUUACACACACUUGACCUCCAACCACUAAGACAGUACAUAGAGUCCAAUUUUCCUACCUUGGCUCAUGAACGAGGUUGCCUGGUUGCUGCUGUGCCUGCUUUUCUCCCUGUGUCGUCUCUGCUGCCUUCUGAAUAACAGUCUCAGGUUUGUCUAUGGCCUCUGUGGGGAGCCGGGACAUCUGGACAGAGAGGGCCACCUAAAUCAGGUGGGAGGCAUCUCCCUUCUCAACUGGAGUCCCACUCCACACAGGCUCAUAGAUCCCAGAUGAGCCCCCAAGUUUGUGAGAAACACAUUCAUCCGUUGAAACCCAGAGAAUGGACUCGGAGACACAAAGAACAGCAGAAGCAAGUCUUUUAAUGGUGGCCUUGCAAGAUUGGGUGUCUGGCAGGCAGGCACACCUGGGGCAGUUACAGCAGGUAAUUUAUCUCCUAGCACACGAGUCCCUUCCCCAGUUCCUCACUGGUUGAGUACUAUGGGGUUAUAAUCUUACUGGAUGUUGCCUAAGUUUCAUUAUCCCCCUUAUAAGGUUAUGCCCUGGUCUCCUUCCCCACAUAAGUUUUGAUUUGCCAAUAAUGAAACUUCCCUUUUAUGGGCUGACCCAUCCUCUACAUUCUGUUUGCUUAUUGUGAAUUUCUAGGUGCAUGAGCUGUGUGGUUUCUCACAUCUGCAGGCUGGCUGCCAGUACUUAGAUUUAUCAUAUCUUGAAAAUGGACCAUGUAAAAUGUUUUCUCACAGAUGUGUUUAUUAGGACUUACAGGACACUCUUGGACAGCAGCAGGAGAGCUCUAGAGAUCCAUGCCUCUUCCCAUCUCUAAACUGCUUUUAAGAAAGUCUGAAAUUUUAAUAGAGCAAAGAAUUUGGAGGCAUAUCAACCUAGUUACCUAUGCUGGAUGUAUAAAUACUGCUGCAUCGUUUCGGCAAAUCACCCAACCUCUUUGAGGCUCAGUUCUAUCUCCGAGAGGAGAGAACCAAAGCCCAAUGAAGCUUGGUCACUUGCUGGUAAGUGCCUGACAUUGAUGAGUACCUUGCCAAGAAGUGUCAGGCAGCAGCUGACACCAAUCUAAAGAGAGAAGAAGAAAUUCUGAGCCUUUCUAUGAGGACGCUGCCUGGGCUUAGUAUACCUGCUUGCCUGAGAAAUUGUGAGAAGAAAGGAAAUGAACAUAGUAACAGGCCAGCCACUGCCAAAAUGAUACACUAUUAGCCACGCCAGCACUUCCAAAAUUAAGAUCUGCACAAAGUGAAGAAAGAAGAACCCCAGGUUGGCAUGGAACAUGUUCAUAGCCUCUGCGAUGCUCCACAAUUCUUGGAAAUCUUUUACCAACUGGGACUAUGAAAUAAAUAUUCAAAGAGUAAAUUAGCUCUUUCAGGGGAAAGGGAAUACAGAUGAACAUAAUUAAUAAUUUAUUUUAUUAAUUUUGUAUACAUCUCUUUUAUUAAUAGAAUUUUAUUAAUACAUUUAAUUGUCCAGAAUUAAAACCCCAAAACAAUGAACCAGCAAAUAAAACCUUUAAAAAGUUUAUGAAAUUUUUUUGUUGUUUUCUGCAGAAG